rnacentral:rRNA from 1 species
CAAGCCUGAUCCAGCCAUGCCGCGUGUGUGAAGAAGGCCUUCGGGUUGUAAAGCACUUUUGUUCGGGAAGAAAUCGUACGGAUUAAUACUUUGUACGGAUGACGGUACCGAAAGAAUAAGCACCGGCUAACUUCGUGCCAGCAGCCGCGGUAAUACGAAGGGUGCAAGCGUUACUCGGAAUCACUGGGCGUAAAGCGUGCGUAGGCGGUUCGUUAAGUCUGCUGUGAAAGCCCUGGGCUCAACCUGGGAACUGCAGUGGAUACUGGCGGACUAGAGUGUGAUAGAGGAUGGUGGAAUUCCCGGUGUAGCGGUGAAAUGCGUAGAGAUCGGGAGGAACACCAGUGGCGAAGGCGGCCAUCUGGAUCAACACUGACGCUGAGGCACGAAAGCGUGGGGAGCAAACAGGAUUAGAUACCCUGGUAGUCCACGCCCUAAACGAUGCGAACUGGACGUUGGUUGCAACUUGGCAAUCAGUGUCGAAGCUAACGCGUUAAGUUCGCCGCCUGGGGAGUACGGUCGCAAGACUGAAACUCAAAGGAAUUGACGGAAGC